rnacentral:rRNA from 1 species
AUGAAGAGAUUUUUGAGGGGCUCUUCAAGCCGAAGCUCGAAGGAUAAGCAAAGUGAAGAGAAUAAGAAGCCCAAAUAUAAUCUCCCUCAUACUGCGAAAGUUCAACCGUGUGAAUGGCCUUGCGACGAGUUCUUGAGAGAAGCCUGGAUUUAUGAAGAUUUUUUUAUUUGGCUGAGAAUGCAGGCCUCACCAACUUCCUCCACGACCAGCUCGAACAGUAUCUCCUACUCACUAAUAUUUUUGUGCAAAAUUUUCAUUUCCAUGCUAGGAGGUCGCCACCUUCUGUGGAUUUUUAUUUGUAUGAUGAGUAUAAGGAGAUGUCACUUUACAACUUUUGUGGGGUUUGCAAGUUGCCCUUUGAGGGCAGCAUAG